rnacentral:rRNA from 1 species
GACGAAGGCCCCAAGCGUUAUCCGGAUUUAUUGGGCGUAAAGAGCGCGUAGGCGGUUCAAUGCGUCUUUUGUAAAAUCUCACUGCUUAACAGUGAUUUGGCAAAAGAUACGAUUGGGCUAGAGGACGUUAGAGGCAGAUGGAACGCACGGUGUAGGGGUGAAAUCCGUUGAUAUCGUGCGGAACACCAAAGGCGAAGGCAUUCUGCUGGGACGUUUCCUGACGCUGAGGCGCGAAAGCGUGGGGAGCAAAAAGG